GAUGAACGCUAGCGGCAGGCUUAAUACAUGCAAGUCGAACGGUAAGGUCUCUUCGGAGAUACACGAGUGGCGCACGGGUGCGUAACGCGUAUGCAACCUACCUUUAACUGGGAAAUAGCCCCGAGAAAUCGGGAUUAAUGUCCCAUAUUAUUCUGAGAAUGCAUAUUCUUAGAAUGAAAGCUCCGGCGGUUAUUGAUGGGCAUGCGUGCCAUUAGCUAGUUGGUGAGGUAACGGCUCACCAAGGCGACGAUGUCUAGGGGUCCUGAAAGGGUUAACCCCCACACUGGUACUGAGACACGGACCAGACUCCUACGGGAGGCAGCAGUAAGGAAUAUUGGGCAAUGGACGCAAGUCUGACCCAGCCAUGCCGCGUGAAGGAUGAAUGUCCUAUGGAUUGUAAACUUCUUUUAUGCAGGAAAAAUAUCCCGGUCGUGAACCGGGACUGAUGGUACUGUAUGAAUAAGCAUCGGCUAACUCCGUGCCAGCCGCCGCGGUAAGAC
rnacentral:rRNA from 1 species